rnacentral:rRNA from 1 species
UACGGAAGGGGCAAGCGUUGUUCGGAAUCAUUGGGCGUAAAGGGCGCGUAGGCGGUCUCGUAUGUCCGUUGUGAAAUUCCACGGCUCAACUGUGGAGGGUCAAUGGAAACUGCGAGACUUGAGGCUGGGAGGGGCCGGUGGAAUUCCCUGUGUAGCGGUGAAAUGCGUAGAUAUGGGGGAGAACACUCGUGGCGAAGGCGGCCGGCUGGACCAGUCCUGACGCUGAGGCGCGACAGCGUGGGGAGCAAACAGG